UAGUCUCGGGGUUCUUUGCUUUCAGAUAGCACUUUACUUCUGUGGAUAAUGGCGCUCGUUGUGUUUUAAAUGGGUUGAAAUUGGUAUAGCGACUUCGACUUUCUGUUUUAACAUUAGAAAGAUUAGCUUAGGGCUGUUCCACAUAGGCCUAGUUUAAGGAUACUUUUAUGAGCAUUAGAUUGUCUUUGUGAUUGUUUUCGCAGGCAUGUUUGCAAUCGCUUUAAUCUUCACGAUGACAUCUAGGAGAUAUUCGACGGAUACUCGACAUAUUCGACGGAUACUCAACUAGAUUUGGACUUUUGCACUCUUUGAAACAAUUGCAGUUGCUUGGGUCUUCAAACUAGGAAACUUCGAAAAUGACAUAGAGAGAAUGAUUCAUUCAAAACCUGGAUUGUAUUGGGAAAUAAUAUGGAAAGAUACCUGCCCAAUUAUUAUGGGAGUUACUCGUUAUUCUGAUUGUGAGCUUCGUGAACAAAGACACCGUCUCGAAAGACGAGUUAACCUAUAUGCCAUGGGCCGGUGCUAAUUCUUACGGGAGAAAUUAAGGAGCUGAUCAGAAUGAUAAUGAUGAAAUCGGAGUUAUAAAAUCUGCGACUCCGUUGAAUUUAAAUUGUGGUAUUGGCGUCUUGGGACACAUAACAUAUUUUCGAAUGUAGAUGACAGUUCACCAGAAUAUCCCACCUAGUGGAUAAUAAAUAUCGAAAAUCAAAAUUUGUCUGUAGAAUUUAAAUUUGACGGAGUCGCAAAUUCCGUAACUACGGCUUCAUCAUUAUCAUUCUGAUCAGCUCCUUAAUUUCUCCCGUAAGA